AAGGAGUUCACCAGAUCCGGCAUUAAGCUUGUACCAUCUGUGACUUCAUGUUAUGUAGAGUUGCAGUGUUUUUGUAUGUGAAAUGUUGAAGGAGAUAUAUCAUACUUUUUGUGAUUUUCUGUGAUGUUAAACAUGAUCAAAUCUCCAAAACUUGAGCCUCUGGAGCUUCCGGAAGUCUGCCGAGAAGCAGAGCCCUGUUGCAAUGGUGAAAUUCCCAAAAACCCACCGCUGCUCACCUCCAACCACCAACCACAGCUUUACUGAAGCUAACAAAUGAAAAACCUCUACCUGUGAAUAAAAACGGCAUUACAGCUUCACUGACUUUUGAUCCCAUCCUCUGGUUGUACUGGGCACACACACCUCAACCAACCACUCUGAUAUUGGAACUGCCAAACGGUAUACCAAAGAACUGCAGGCUUUACAAAUACUUAUCACACACAACACACACACACUCACACACACAUGGACCCACACACAUCACCACAGAUUUUAAUUUCCUCUCAGGAUAUGAGAAAAUCUGUGUUAAUAAUGCAAGGUGGGACAGAGAGAGAAAUCAUGAGUCCAGAUCGAAGCAGGCAGGCGUGCUGGGCUGAUUGACAGUUUGAUCUGAUCUGCACUAAUGGAGGACUUGAUGAAGAAGGGCGGGAGGAGGAGGAGGAGGAGGAGGAGGAGGAGGUUUGAACGGCAGCCACUGACUGCUCCUCCAAUAUAUCACGGCUCCCAACAUCUUCCAAACAAGCUCCCAGCCUGCCCUGGGCUAGUGAUGAGCAAAGCAGUACUUUUCAGUGUACUGAGUCAUUAGAAUCAGUUCAUGAAAAAGUUUUCAAAAGGUUCGUUCACCGAAUCGUUCAGCACCCGACCGGAGCUCUGCGUAGCCCGACUCACUGAGCUAAAACACGGCCUAACAUUCUGUACAGCUCGCUAACUAAUUCAGUUGGAUAAAAAUACUGUUUGCAAACUGGAAGCUGCUAUAACAAAGUCCUACCCUGUCAUGUACAGCACAUACAUUUUCACGACACCUAAUUAUUAAAUAAAAUAUUUGGUACUACUUCGAGACUUCAAGACAUGAGAGGGAGGGAGAGGGGCGAGUUUGAGCGACUCAGCGACUGUCAUCAUUCAGGGCUCGCGUUCAUUGUGGAAGUUGAGUGAAUGAAUCACUGAACAUGCACCGCUCCCUCGCAGCGAAAGGAACUGAGACUAAAACACCUGUUUUUUCAUACUGCAGGUUUCACCAGGCAUUUUAAACUAAUGAAAAAAUCCAGGGAUUGUCAAACGUAACCUAGGUCAUUUUAAAUGUAUUUGAAAUCUAAUGAGUACAGAUGCUGCAAUUUUGUUUAUGCACUCUAUCCCAUCACAUCUCUCAUAUUGUGUCACAACUUGAAAAUCUAAUUCUUACCACCAUUGCAGUAUUGUUCAGAAGUAUAAUCUCUUCACUUUUUAAUUUUUAGUUUUUUUGUUCAUGGUUAACGUUAAGUUUAUUACACAAGAUUUUUAACAAUGUUGCCUCAUAAACAAACUCUUAAACAAUUUGUAACAAACUGUAACACUGGCACAAGGCUGACACAAGCCUCCACUAGAGGCGACUGUUACAUUAAAUUUCAGUCCACAAAGUUUAGCCGGACUGCUUCUUCCAAUCAUCGCGACCAGAUUGUGGAACAUCUUGCUAAUUAGUAACAGAGAGUCCAGAACUUUUAAAAACUUUAAAUCUUGCAUUAAAGAAAGAAAACCAGUCUUGCAGUCAUUAAAGUUUAAGGCCUUUAUUUAUUUAUUUUUAAUGUAAUGCUAUGCACUGUAUUGUAUUUUAUGUAUCUGUAAUGUCAUUUUACUACGUUUGUCGCUUACUACUCUGAACUGUGUGUCACUGACGACUCCCAUCAAGGGACUGCAGAUGGAACUAUCUGGUGCAAUAUGAGUAAUGUGUCAAACAAACAAAUAAAACAUGUAUUGCAACUAUGUGUCUUGUUAACUAUUUUUAUUACACUGAAAUGAAAACCAGAAAUAGUAAGAGUGGGAAAUAUAAAUUACAGUGCAAAUAAAAACGGCAUAAACAAGAAAAUAAAUAUAGACUACAACUGCAGCGCAAAAACAAAUAUCAAGAGCAUAAUUGACAAGACAUACAAAUAAAAACUGCAUUUAGAAAAUAUCAGGUGGAAAAUAUUGACUUAAGUGUGCAAUCAAAAAGAAAAUAAAUAGCCUAACUGUGGCGCAAAACAAAUAUAAAGUCAAGAGACUGAACAAAUUAUGAAAAAAUACAACAUUCACAGGUGUCAAACAGAUGAAAAACGCAACUGACAAAGAUAUGAACAGAUCAUUUCAGGAAGUGAUUCAGUUCACUUCGUUCACCCAAAAGAGCCGUUCUUUUAAACGAAUCGUUCACGAACCACAAAACACUAGUGCCACGUGUGUGUUUGUGUGUGUGUUGUGUGCGUGUCAGCUGUCUGAUUGUGUAUGUUUGUGUGCAGCAGACAGCGUGUGGGUGUGUGCCCGUGGUGUGUCAAGUUGGAGAGAACCGGGUUUUUAAUCAGAGUUCAUUUUCCCCCCCAAAUCUAAUUAGAAGUGUGAGGGUGGCAGGGUUUGGAGAAGUGGGGAGGGAGAGCUGGAGGGGAAGAGGGGGAAUUAAAUCCAAAUGAAAAGUGCCUUCCGUGUCGACCUGAAUCUAAUGUGUGGCAGAAGAAGAGCAGGAGAAGCUAAUAACGUUGCAUCGCCCCUCCAAGGUUAGCGUGGCAAAACAAAAACAAAUUAGCGCUCCAAAACCCGUCCGCUCGCAGUGAGCGCAGAGGCAGGGAGGAACUGAGGAGCAAAUAAAGACGAAACAAGGGAUGGAGAGAAGAGACUUCCACAGGUGGAACUAAUUAAUUAUCUCCUGGAGAGACGAGGAGAGGGGCAGAGGAGAGAGCGGGAGAGGAAACGAGAGGGAAGGAGGAGAGGAGAGGAGAAAGCACGAGACAAACAUGUCU